GACCUUCCGUUCAGAGCCUUACUGGAACCAAACAAGCAACUAGGUGACCUUCUGGACACCAGCUCUGAUGUCAGUUAUGUGUAAAGCCAGGCAGAUGGGUCCAGAUAGUCCUGGAGAUUUCCACCUACUGAAAUGUUUCCAUACUUAAUUUCUACUCAGAGAACCUGAAGUCACUUCUAACAGUAUCUCUCAAGACCGAUACAGUUGAGCUCCAUCUGCCCUUCUAACAUCGGCGGCCUGGCAACAGUGUCUUGCUAAGCUGGGAAACAUGGUAUGGUGAGAAGGUCUCUAACUUCGGUCAAGACUCAGUUCUGCCACUCUCCACAAUGACUCUGGGCAAGGUGCUUCAGAGCACUAUCCCAGCAUGGCCUUGUCCUGGACUGCAUGGGGUUCAUUCUUCAUCCUCAAUGGUCAGGAGCCACUUCCAACAGGUGCCCAGGGAGGACAAAGGAUCCAGGCUUCACUUUUCCUGAUGGAGCAAAAGGAGUAUCAGGAGAUAAAUGGUGAUGCCAGACUGGAUCUCAGACAACACUGGAAGCAUCUCCAGGCUUUCCUAACACCAGAUUAAUCCAUAUGAAUGGAAAGGACAAUUCAUUUGUCCUUCCCUGUGACCCUCAUUCUGUCCCAGAUGGACCACGCUAAAGAGGAUGUAGAGUAUGAAGUCUGUCUGAAUAUGUGAAAGGACUGACACCAGGGUUGUUGUGAAGCUGUGGGGCCUUUGUUGAGCCAGAGAUACGGCUUGAAGGGAGAAAAUGAAACAUAGGUUGUGGCUCAGUUCUCAGCUAAGUACCCAGUACCCAGUUGAGUAGAGUAAGUGAGCUGCCUAUGCAAGUCAGCCAGAGGAAGACACAGAUGUCAGGGAAGAAGCAGGGCGUGGCUCCACCUAAAUGAGGAGGGGGAGCUCUAUGCCUGGCUGGGAGACCCUGUGGGUACUGGUGAUGACCAGCCCACACUCAGCCCUGAGCCAUAAAGACACAAAAGAAACCCCAAAGGAAGGAACGAACUGACUUGUCAAUCAUUCCCUACAGUUUUUAUUGAAGCAGGUCUGCCCAGCCUCUGCCUGCCUGCAGGAACUUAGAGACACACUAGCACUCUAUGGACGAGCAAAGACCAAAGUCAGGAGCAGAUCUUCAUCAAAUGGUGAGGAUUCCAUCUCAUCAGCCAGAGCAGUCAUCAACGAAGCCAAGGACAGCUCUCACAAGUUGUCCUUGAACCUCCACACACGGGCAUAUAUAUGACUAAAUUUAAUUUGUUAAAGCCAAAUUUUUUUAAAAAUUAAAAAAAAAACAAGCAAAAUUGUGGAGACUUUAUAAUUUAUGUUUAAUGCCAAGAAUGCCUCAUGCCAGAUAGUCGUCAGAACUUUCAUACAUUGCCACAGCUAAUGACCACCAUAAC
rnacentral:lncRNA from 1 species